GACGAACGCUGGCGGCGUGCUUAACACAUGCAAGUCGAGCGGUAAGGCCCUUUCGGGGGUACGACGAGCGGCGAACGGGUAGAGUAACACGUGGGUGACCUGCCCUCAGCUCUGGGAUAAGCCUGGGAAACCGGGUCUAAUACCGGAUAUGACUCCAUGACGCAUGUUGUGGGGUGGAAAGCCUUGUGCGGCUGAGGAUGGGCCCGCGGCCUAUCAGCUUGUUGGUGGGGUGAUGGCCUACCAAGGCGACGACGGGUAGCCGGCCUGAGAGGGCGACCGGCCACACUGGGACUGAGACACGGCCCAGACUCCUACGGGAGGCAGCAGUGGGGAAUCUUGCGCAAUGGGCGAAAGCCUGACGCAGCGACGCCGCGUGAGGGAUGACGGCCUGUGU
rnacentral:rRNA from 1 species